AUCCAGGUGACGAGUACCGAAUAGGACGAAACGCGCAUCCUGGAU
rfam:Schistosoma mattheei strain Denwood, Zambia genome assembly, scaffold: SMTD_scaffold0000510